rnacentral:rRNA from 1 species
AUUGAACGCUGGCGGCAGGCUUAACACAUGCAAGUCGAGCGGGGAAGGUUAGCUUGCUACCUAACCUAGCGGCGGACGGGUGAGUAAUGCUUAGGAAUCUGCCUAUUAGUGGGGGACAACAUUCCGAAAGGAAUGCUAAUACCGCAUACGCCCUACGGGGGAAAGCAGGGUAUCUUCGGACCUUGCGCUAAUAGAUGAGCCUAAGUCGGAUUAGCUAGUUGGUGGGGGAAAGGCCUACCAAGGCGACGAUCUGUAGCGGGUGUGAGAGGAUGAUCCGCCACACUGGGACUGAGAAACGGCCCAGACUCCUACGGGAGGCAGCAGUGGGGAAUAUUGGACAAUGGGGGGAACCCUGAUCCAGCCAUGCCGCGUGUGUGAAGAAGGCCUUUUGGUUGUAAAGCACUUUAAGCGAGGAGGAGGCUACCGAGAUUAAUACUCUUGGAUAGUGGACGUUACUCGCAGAAUAAGCACCGGCUAACUCUGUGCCAGCAGCCGCCGUAAUAC